CGGAGGGUGCAAGCGUUGCUCGGAAUCAUUGGGCGUAAAGGGUGCGUAGGCGGCUUUUUAAGUCUGACGUGAAAGCCCAAGGCUCAGCCUUGGAAGUGCGCCAGAAACUGGAAGGCUCGAGUGCCGGAGGGGAGAGUGGAAUUCCUGGUGUAGCGGUGAAAUGCGUAGAUAUCAGGAGGAAUACCGGUGGCGAAAGCGACUCUCUGGACGGUAACUGACGCUGAGGCACGAAAGCGUGGGGAGCAAACAGGAUUAGAUACCCUGGUAGUCCACGCUGUAAACGAUGGGCACUAGGUGUCGGGGGUAUCCACUCCCUCGGUGCCGCCGCUAACGCAUUAAGUGCCCCGCCUGGGAAGUACGGCCGCAAGGUUA
rnacentral:rRNA from 1 species